rnacentral:rRNA from 1 species
GACGAACGCUGGCGGCGUGCCUAAUACAUGCAAGUAGAACGCUGAAGGAGGAGCUUGCUUCUCCGGAUGAGUUGCGAACGGGUAAGUAACGCGUAGGUAACCUGCCUGGUAGCGGGGGAUAACUAUUGGAAACGAUAGCUAAUACCGCAUAAGAGUAGAUGUUGCAUGACAUUUGCUUAAAAGGUGCAAUUGCAUCACUACCAGAUGGACCUGCGUUGUAUUAGCUAGUUGGUGGGGUAACGGCUUACCAAGGCGACGAUACAUAGCCGACCUGAGAGGGUGAUCGGCCACACUGGGACUGAGACACGGCCCAGACUCCUACGGGAGGCAGCAGUAGGGAAUCUUCGGCAAUGGACGGAAGUCUGACCGAGCAACGCCGCGUGAGUGAAGAAGGUUUUCGGAUCGUAAAGCUCUGUUGUAAGAGAAGAACGAGUGUGAGAGUGGAAAGUUCACACUGUGACGGUAUCUUACCAGAAAGGGACGGCUAACUACGUG